AUUGAACGCUGGCAGCAGGCCUAACACAUGCAAGUCGAACGCGUGGCGGACGGGUGAGUAAUGUCUGGGUCACUGCCUGAUGGAGGGGGAUCACUACUGGAAACGGUAGCUAAUACCGCAUCCCAUCGGAUGUGCCCAGAGGGGAUUAGCUAGUAGGUGGGGUAAAGGCUCACCUAGGAGACGAUCCCUAGCUGGUCUGAGAGGAUUCCCAGCCACACUGGGACUGAGACACGGUCCAGACUCCUACGGGAGGCAGCAGUGGGGAAUAUUGCACAAUGGGCGCAAGCCUGAUGCAGCCAUGUCGCGUGUAUGAAGAAGGCCUUAGGGUUGUAAAGUACUUUCAGCGGGGAGGCGUUACCCGCAGAAGAAGCACCGGCUAACUCCGUGCCAGCAGCCGCGGUAAUUC
rnacentral:rRNA from 1 species